rnacentral:lncRNA from 1 species
UGUAUAUAAAACAUGAUUAUAUAUAAAAAACCCAACACAUAAUGGCAUAAAGUUACUUUCUAAAGAAAUUAAAUGACUGAACAAUUGUAUGAAACCAGGUUUAUAGAGCUUACUUUAAGAAACUUAAAACCGGUUUCCUGAGAUUUGCUGCUCUCUACAGGCUACUUCUAUUAUCGUCCUAAAAGAGGUGUUUUAUGAUUGGGAAAGUUGCUGCUGCCAUAGUAAUACUAUUAGAGCAAAGACUUACUAUUGUUAUUUCGGUAUUAACAACACCAAUAAAAAAAAAAAAUAAAACACUGUCUAUGACAAUCAUUUUCACUUGUUUGCUGAACCAAACAUGUUUAUAUCAAUGACAAUAUACUUAUUUUACUAUCAAAUAGCAGCUUUAAUACCAGUCAAGUCAUAGAUUUAAAAACAAAACCAAAAACUUACGCUGGAAAUUAAUCUUUGGGACGUUUGUAAUCGCUGGAAAAAAUGCAAACGUUUUCAUGUCCAUAAAAAAACCUCCUCGUAGCAAUUGUGUUGGUCAUCAAACACUGACCUACGUGGAAAAUGAACGAACCCACAAAAGUCACUAAAAAUAAAUGUAUACCAAAAUAAUUUCAGUUGGAAUCACGGUUAUUUUGCUUUUUUUGCCAUGUUAACACAUACUGUAUGCUUCAAGUACCAGUUCAAAGAUGUCGUGUACUAUUGGUCAGAUAAGGUUGUUACAUCGAGAGAAUUCACCACUUACGACAACAAAAAUGCUUGCCCCUAGCACAUUUCACAGCUUCAACUGCUACAGACUGUCACUGAACAAAAAUGCAUCGGUCAGUCUGAACCAUGUCAAGUAAACUAUGGAAGUAGCAUAUCCACAACACAAACUGUGCUAGCACUUUCUUUUCAAGUCUAACCCAAAAACAGGUACAAUUUGGGAGCCACUGCUCCAUUCUGUGAAAGGUGGUGGAACUUGGCGAUCAGACGUGUUGAAGGUGUGGUUGUACAGUACAUUCUUGUGGCCCAGGCCAGGUUCCAGGCAGGCAGCUGCGCAGUCCUGCAGCAUUAGCAACAGUGCAC